ensembl:lncRNA
UCUCCACUUCCAGUUUAGAAAAAUGAGUUUUUGAGGCAUUAAACGGUAUGCAGGUGGUGACAGGCUUCCAAUGGCUCAAAGUCACAGGCAAAGAAAAGUGUGGCUUUAACCUGCUCUCUGAUGCUUUUGCUGGAAAUAUUUAUGUUUCAGGCGAGCCCUAUCUUUGUUAAGGGCUCCUUAACCAAGAUCUGGUUGGUGGCCAGCCCAGUGUGGCUUUAACCUGCUCUCUGAUGCUUUUGCUAGAAAUGUUUAUGUGUCAGGCGAGCCCUGUCUAUGGUAAGGGCUCCUUCACCAAGAUCUGGUUGGUGGCCAGCCCAUCCAAUUUUAGCCAUAAACUCCUGGGGGGGGGGGGGGGUCAGAGGCUUGCUCUAUUAUCCUUGAUCACACAUAUAGGUGGAAAGCAGCUAUAAAUUAGCAGCACCAGCAAUUCUGCUGAAAGAGAUCCGCCACAUAUAAGAGUACUGGGUUAUUGUGGUCUGAGAAGCUGGAAAGGACCAAACUCUCUCUGGAGGCAAAAAUUGUUCAAUUCGAGUUUGUCCUCCUUUUGGGCACAUCCUGAGAAGAUAAAGAGUUAUCUGGAAAAAAAUCAUCCUGGGGAAAGGUGGAAGGCAGCAGCAGGAAAAGAGGAAGACGGAGUAUGAGAUGAACCGACUCUCUAAAGGAAACCACGGGAUUGAGUUUGCAAGAGCUGAACAGGGCCGUUGAGGACAGGACAGUCGCUCAUUCACAGGGUCGCCACAAGAUGAGGGCGACUUGACAACAGGUGACAACAACCCCUUUCACUCAGUGGCCAUAAACACCCGAUGCAGCCAUUCACUUCACUUUGGGCUCAGGAAGCAGAUGAGAUGUGUUUUCCAGGAGCCUGGCAUGGCUUCAGGCACAUGGUGAGGAAACAGGCCGGCCAGCCAAUAGGAGAGCCCAUAGAAAGAGAAGCGGCGUGUGACGUCGGAAGGGACGCUCCCCAGGCUUGUUUCUCCCGCAGGCUUCCUGCAAAUCGUGAAGGCGACCCGUGGGGAGAAGGAGGGGAUAGAACCCGUUGCCCACGUCCAGUCGUCCGUCUGCCAGCCCUGAGACCAGAAACUGCACUGGAAUGGAAGUGGUAAAACGGAAGAUGUGGGGAGAUGGUUUGGCUUUUUCCUGUGCAUCACCACCUCCCCAGAUGUGUCUUUUGCGUAAGAAAAGAAAUGUCAUCAUUUGACCCACGGUUCUCCGUUUCACAAAGGUCUCUCUCUCUGUUUCUCUGCCUCUAACGGGACAGUACUGCAUGACAUCCACACCUGGCACGCUUUGAAGUCUUGGAAGCUGCAGUGUAGCAAUCAAGCAUCCUCACCAGAUGGCCGGUUCCGUAGAAAAUGGGCAUGUCUGCAACCGGAGUGUGUCAGGUAUGGUGAGGAAGGCAGGACCGGUUCAAAGAUAGGUGUGGCAUGCUGCGGUUUUUAAUCUGUAAACUGCACAGAGUAGUGUGUCCACUAGGAAGUGGUAUAUAACUCAAAUAUCUGAGGGGUUUAGCUCUCUGGAUGCAGAGCCAGAGGUUGGGAAUUCAGAUCUCCACUGUGCCUCCAUGACAGGGCUGAACUUAAAUCGAUCGAUCAAUCAAUAGAUCGCUAGAUAAACUAUUACCUACCGGAGAUGGAAAAGGGAAUAGAACAAGGGUAGCCACAGUGUAGCCAUUGUGUAUGUCUCGAGUACUCCUGUUACAGCAUCAUUUUGCUCAGGCAAUUUUUUCUGCAGCCUGUACUUGAUUAUGAACAAUGCCACCCAUGCCUUACCCGUGCCAGGACAAUGAACAUCACUUUGUGACGUGGCACUGGCAUUGCUUUGCAUAUGUAUUAGCGGUAACCUGAUGAGCAUGGGAUGGGUGUUUUUGCACACCCCUCCAACCCCUCUCCUGGUUGCUUUUUUCUCUUUACAUGUGUGUGUGGCUAAGUAUCUGGAGGGGCCUUAUAUUUCUCUCUAAAACGUUACAAGGGAAUAUUUGUGAGAAGUUCAGACUUUUUUUCCUUUCUUCCCCGCCCCCCUUCCUGGUAAGCCUUCUGUUGCAGACAAGAGGGCUUCUCUAGUACACUGGUUCUUAACCUUGGGUUACUCAGGAGUUUUGGACUGCAACUCCCAGAAGCCUUCACCACCAACUGUGCUGGCUGGGGUUUCUGGGAGUUGCAGUUCAAAAACAUCCGAGUAACAAAGGUUAAGAACCACUGCUCUAGUAGACAAGUGGUGCAGUUCUGAAAGGUCUGCUCUCUGACUUGCUCUUCUUCCCUUUGCAGAGUGUGCAGCGGGAUGUCAAUCUUUCUCCAGAAGGAAGGAAGAGAAAAGGGUGAUGGUGGAAGAAACUCAGGUAGGAGGUUCUCAGGAGGGGCCACUGAGAGCGUGGUGAGGAAUGUGAAACACCAUAUCUACCAUAAUCACUCAUCUCCUGAAAAGGACAAAAGCUGAUCUCACAGCCAUAAAUACUCAACUCCCAAACAAACUGCACCAGAGCACAGAGUCCUGCCCUCUGAAGAUGCCGGCCACAGAGACUGGAGAAACGUUAGGAAGAACAACCUUCAGAACAUAGCCAAAGAGCCCGAAAAACCCACAACAACCAAUGUGAAACACCUUCAUGCAUAUCAUCUGCAGCUGUUGUGAGAUCUGAGAGAGGGAUGUCUUGGCUCCAGACUCAGAGAAUAAAAUGUCCCUCAAAUGCCUCCUUCCCGAGAUA